GACGAACGCUGGCGGCGUGCCUAAUACAUGCAAGUCGAGCGAACGGACGAGGAGCUUGCGUCUCUGAUGUUAGCGGCGGAGGGGUGAGUCACGCGUGUAUACCCUACCUAUAAGACUGGGAUAACUACGGGAAACCGGAGCUAAUACCGGAUGAUAUUUUGCACCGCAUUGUUCAAAAGUGAAAGACGGUCUUUCUGUCACUAAUAGAUGGAUACGCGCUGCAUUAGCUGGUUGUUAGGGUAAAGGCUUACCACGGCAAGGAUGCAUAGACGAACUACGCGGGUGAUCGCCCACACUGGAACGGAGACACGGUCCAGACUCCUACGGGAGGAAGCAGAAGGGAAUCUUCCGCAAUGGGCGAGAGCCUGACGGAGCAACGCCGCGUGAGUGAUGAAGGUGCUCGGAUCGGAAAACUCUGUUAUUAGUGGAGAACAUAUGUGUAAGUAACUGUGCAGAUCUUGACGGUACCGGGUCAGAAAGCCCCGGCUAACUACGUG
rnacentral:rRNA from 1 species